UCCCUGCUGGCUCAGACGGUAAAGCGUCUGUCUAUAAUGUGGGAGACCUGGGUUCGAGCCCUGGGUUGGGAA
rnacentral:tRNA from 1 species